ACACGUAAGAAUUGGAGGCAAAGAAAUGUGGAUUUGGAGAAAUCUGGGGCCAGCUUGCUCCCCGCAGGCUCACGAUCAACCAUACCACAUAG
rnacentral:snoRNA from 1 species